UACGAACCGAGCGAACGUUAUUCGGAAUCACUGGGCUUAAAGGGCUCGUAGGCGGCCAACUAAGUCAGACGUGAAAUCCCUCGGCUUAACCGGGGAACUGCGUCUGAUACUGGAUGGCUUGAAUCCGGGAGAGGGAUGUGGAAUUCCAGGUGUAGCGGUGAAAUGCGUAGAUAUCUGGAGGAACACCGGUGGCGAAGGCGGCAUCCUGGACCGGCACUGACGCUGAGGCGCGAAAGCGAGGGGAGCAAACGGG
rnacentral:rRNA from 1 species